rnacentral:rRNA from 1 species
GGAAAGAAACCAACAGGGAUGCCUCAGUAACGGCGAGUGAAGCGGCAAGAGCUCAAAUUUGAAAUCUGGCCUCCUUUGGUGGUCCGAGUUGUAAUUUGCAGAGGGUGCUUUGGCGUUGACAGCGGUCUAAGUUCCCUGGAACAGGACGUCACAGAGGGUGAGAAUCCCGUACGUGGUCGCGCGUCUCCCUCGUGUAAAGCCCCUUCGACGAGUCGAGUUGUUUGGGAAUGCAGCUCUAAAUGGGAGGUAAAUUUCUCCUAAAGCUAAAUACUGGCCAGAGACCGAUAGCGCACAAGUAGAGUGAUCGAAAGAUGAAAAGCACUUUGGAAAGAGAGUCAAAAAGCACGUGAAAUUGUUGAAAGGGAAGCGCUUGCAGCCAGACUUGCCCGCAGUUGCUCACCCGGACUUUUGCCCGGGGCACUCUUCUGCGGGCAGGCCAGCAUCAGUUUGGGCGACCGGAUAAGGGCCUCUGUCAUGUAUCUUCCUUCGGGAAGACCUUAUAGGGGAGGCGUAGUACGGCCAGCCUGGACUGAGGUCCGCGCAUUUGCUAGGAUGCUGGCGUAAUGGCUGUAAGCGGCCCGUCUUGAAACACGGACCAAGGAGUCUAACAUCUAUGCGAGUGUUUGGGUGUCAAGCCCGGGCGCGUAAUGAAAGUGAACGGAGGUGGGAACCCUUUGGGUGCACCAUCGACCGAUCCUGAUGUUCUCGGAUGGAUUUGAGUAAGAGCAUAGCUCUUGGGACCCGAAAGAUGGUGAACUAUGCUUGAAUAGGGUGAAGCCAGAGGAAACUCUGGUGGAGGCUCGCAGCGGUUCUGACGUGCAAAUCGAUCGUCAAAUUUGGGCAUAGGGGCGAAAGACUAAUCGAACUAUCUAGUAGCUGG